CCCUAAAUCUACAAUCAGAAAGGGAAAGAAAGGGAACGGGGAGCUCGAGGGGGAAAACAGAAAGGGAAAAGAAAGGAAGGGGAAAGAGGGAAGGCAGGGGAAAAACGGAGGUGAAGAGAGGGAGGAGGAAGGUGCGACGCGGCCAAGACCUCACUGCUGCCGCUGUUGUGCUGCACGUGAGAGUGAGAGAGAGACACACACAGGACGAGCGUCGCGAGAAUCAAGGGAGGGAGACACGGUUCCGUCCUGUUGCCGUUGUGGGUUGCGCCUGAUCACCAUCGCAGAAGCUCCAUCGUCGCUGUUGCACAUAAGAGGAGAAGAUGAUUUCGCUGAUUUUGAUUCUGUCUAAGCCCGCAUCGUUGCUGGAAUCGCGAACCGGGGAGGAAAGGGAGGCUGCUUCCAUCGUCAUUUCAGGUGUCAGAAAAGACCGUCGCCAUUGAAGGAUCCACCGCCGCCGAAUCCCAGCCAUCAUCGCCGCCGGAGUCACCGUGGUUGCCGCUGGAGAAGUGCUAUGAAUGCCGCUGCUGAUGUUAGCACGCAAGGGGGGAAGAGCCCGUCCUUGCCGAUUCUGCCGCCGUCAAAGGGAAAAGGAAGUGAGAGCACCGGUACGGAACGCGAGAAAGGAAUCGUCGCCAAAACCGGAACAGAUUCACCGGACGGACACCCUGGUCUCUGGUUCCUGUUAUUCUGAGUACCAAAGCUGUUGCUCCAUUCCCGUCUUUCCUUGCCAUUAUUAAUUUUCCCCCCCAAAGUUGCUGUUGCUGCUAUUAGAGUUGUGGUUGAUGCUGUUAUCCUCGCGUUAGAACAUGGAGGGUUGCUGCAUUUCCGAUUUUGUGUGGUUAAUGCGACAUCGAGUGACACAGGUUUGAAGACGCAAUUUGAAGCUGCGAGCGAUUAGUAGGUUUUCUUUAUGGUUUUAAUUGCUUUCAUAGAGUCCCCUCGCUCCUGUCCUUUGAAGUUUUAUUUUAUCAGAGGGGUAGGUAUUGUAUUUGGGUUUAUAUGACUUCCUAUGUAUAAGAAUUACUAAUAAUAAUACCUCUGUGAUUGUUAUUAUUAUUUGCAAUGUUUAUCCUUGAUACAUGUCUUUAAUGAAUAAAAACAAAAUUUUCCGGAAUUUUCUUAAAACUAAAAUGCGAACUCGGUAUAAAGGCUCAGUAAUUAAGUAGUUAAUAUUAGAAAAGGUCACGUAACGUUCUUUCUAGUAGAAAUACCCUGACUUAAGCAAGGUAUUUUGCUGGAAGGGAUGUUACAAUAUAGUAUCAGAGCAGUCCUUCCUGUAGAGCCUUGGGAAUGGACUGACUAUGCUUCAUUGCAUACUCUGAGUGUCUGUCAUGCUUUCUAACUUGUUCUGAUGACAAGAUUUUGUGUUUUAUAUGCAUGGCUGUCUUGUGAUUAACGCUAUUAGUUUACCAUUGCAUACCUCAUGGUAUCAAGUUUGGCCAACUUAAUACUAAUGAUUUAUGUAUUUGAGAACACUAAUAGGUUAUCACAGGCAAAAUAGAAGUGAUAGGUUAACGCGAAUUACGAGGUUUUGCGGACGUUAGAAACUAAAUUCUAGAUAUUAGUUCCGUUUCGACGUAUGCUCUUUAUUCGUGCUUAGUGUUAUCUCUUUCUCUACUAUUUGUAUUGGAAUUUCUAGUUUCUGAUCUCUUUCUUGCUAACCUUGUAUUAACAUUCGUGCAUGUCCUUGCUUGACUCUGUAUCGGGUCGUUGCUUGAAUCUUUUGAAACAUUUAUUCUCACCUUACAAAUUCUAUGCUCUGUGUCCUGAACUUGGAUUCAUUUCAGUGUAACAUACCAUUUCUUGUAAUUUCCUUUAUGAGUAUUUAUUUCAGAUUUUCUUUGAGAAAAAUUUCAAUUCAAAUCUUUUCUUACUUGACUGUAUCCACAACCCUUGCUUAAAUUUUGAUGGGAUUGUUUUAAUUCAGCCUAGACUUUCUUACAUAAACUCUGAAGCUUCUUUAUGUAGUUUAAUUUUGUUUAAUUGUGAUAUACCACUUAUCUUUUAUUGAUUUAUAGAAAAAUUUAUUUCAGAAUUCAUUCUUUAAAUAGAAGCUGAUUUUCUGCCAUCCUUACUAUAAUUCUAUAGCUAUGUACUUAAGUAUCUUCCAAGCUUUAGUUUACAAACCAUGCAUGAUUUGUUUUGAUUUGGAAAUUAAAUCGAUAUAACAUAUUAUUUAUACUAAGUUUAGUACAUUGAAAAAUGUUGGAUUUAUAUAUAUGUUCUUUUGAAAAAGAUAAACUAAUUCCCUCUAUUUCAAAUUGA